UCUUCUCUCUCUCUCACAAGCCACAAAGCGCCGCUCUUCGCUUUCCGUCGACAUUGUUUUUUUUUCUUUCUAGGCGUCGCCGUCGCUUCAUCUACUCUCCGUUGCUGUUGCCGUUGCCGUCGAAGGGCCCCUGCUAUUCUAGCUUAGAAAUCUCCAAUACAGAGUGUUUCUCUUAAACGUUUGGGAACUGCUUAUGAAGAGAAUGAAGUAGCAAAUUUUUAAUACAAUUGUCAACCCUAAAGUUGCAGAAUGAAUCUAAGGGUAUUGGCAGCUUGUGACAUGCUAACUUGUAGUAGUAGAGGGAAAGGCCUGUUAUCAUGGACAAAGAAUGCGUUCACUAGUCAAGGUUCUUUGCUCUCAAGUAUGCUGCAGGUGCAAGAUGGUUGUGAUUGUGCAGGUGCUAGUGCUAGAUGGUUGUGAUUAUGCAGGGGCAAGAUGCAAGAUGUGUUGUGAUGCUACAUGGCAGCCAAUUUUGAGGAAUGACAGUAGGAUAAUUUUAUUAUGUGACAUGCUUUUGUAUAAUUACUCUAGAUGUACGUUCCAAACUUAUCGAUCAAUAAAGUAUUAUUUUUUAACAA